GGACUACUGGGGUUUCUAAUCCUGUUUGCUACCCACGCUUUCGAAUCUCAGUGUCAAUAUUAUGCCAGGAAGCUGCCUUCGCCAUCGGUAUUCCUCCAGAUCUCUACGCAUUUCACCGCUACACCUGGAAUUCUACUUCCCUCUCACAUAUUCUAGCACCACCAGUAUCACAUGCAGUUCCCAGGUUAAGCCCGGGGAUUUCACAUGUGACUUAAUGAGCCACCUACACUCGCUUUACGCCCAGUAAUUCCGAUUAACGCUCGCACCCUCUGUAUUACCGCGGCUGCUGGCAC
rnacentral:misc_RNA from 1 species